CCUACGGGGUGCAGCAGUGAGGAAUAUUGGUCAAUGGGCGCGAGCCUGAACCAGCCCAGUCGCGUGAGGGAAGACGGUCCUAUGGAUUGUAAACCUCUUUUGUCGGGGAGCAAAAGACGCCACGCGUGGCGUUCCGAGAGUACCCGAAGAAAAAGCAUCGGCUAACUCCGUGCCAGCAGCCGCGGUAAUACGGAGGAUGCGAGCGUUAUCCGGAGUUGUUGGGUUUAAAGGGUGCGCAGGCGGAAGAUCAAGUCAGCGGUAACAUUGAGAGGCUCAACCUCUUCGAGCCGUUGAAACUGGUUGUCUUGAGUGAGCGAGAAGUAUGCGGAAUGCGUGGUGUAGCGGUGAAAUGCAUAGAUAUCACGCAGAACUCCGAUUGCGAAGGCAGCAUACCGGCGCCCUACUGACGCUGAGGCACGAAAGCGUGGGUAUCGAACAGGAUUAGAUACCCCGGUAGUC
rnacentral:rRNA from 1 species